UACGUAGGGUGCAAGCGUUAAUCGGAAUUACUGGGCGUAAAGCGUGCGCAGGCGGUUUUGUAAGUCUGACGUGAAAUCCCCGGGCUCAACCUGGGAAUUGCGUUGGAGACUGCAAGGCUGGAGUCUGGCAGAGGGGGUAGAAUUCCACGUGUAGCAGUGAAAUGCGUAGAGAUGUGGAGGAACACCGAUGGCGCAAGGCAGCCCCCUGGGUCAAGACUGACGCUCAUGCACGAAAGGCGUGGGGAGCAAACGAGGAUUACGUAAAC
rnacentral:rRNA from 1 species